CCUACGGGUGGCAGCAGUGAGGAAUAUUGGUCAAUGGGCGGAAGCCUGAACCAGCCAAGCCGCGUGAAGGAAGACUGCUCUACGGGUUGUAAACUUCUUUUAUAAAGGAGUAAAGUGAGGCACGUGUGCCUUUUUGUAUGUACUUUAUGAAUAAGGAUCGGCUAACUCCGUGCCAGCAGCCGCGGUAAUACGGAGGAUCCGAGCGUUAUCCGGAUUUAUUGGGUUUAAAGGGAGCGUAGGUGGCUUGUUAAGUCAGUUGUGAAAUUUUGCGGCUCAACCCGAGAAUUGCCAUUGAUACUGGAAGCCUUGAGAGCAGUUGAGGUAGGCGGAAUUCGUGGUGUAGCGGUGAAAUGCUUAGAUAUCACGAAGAACACCGAUUGCGAAGGCAGCUUACUAAACUGCCACUGACAUUGAUGCUCGAAAGCGUGGGUAGCAAACAGGAUUAGAUACCCUUGUAGUC
rnacentral:rRNA from 1 species